ACGAAGGGUGCAAGCGUUACUCGGAAUUACUGGGCGUAAAGCGUGCGUAGGUGGUUCGUUAAGUCUGAUGUGAAAGCCCUGGGCUCAACCUGGGAAUUGCAUUGGAUACUGGCGGGCUAGAGUGCGGUAGAGGAUGGCGGAAUUCCCGGUGUAGCAGUGAAAUGCGUAGAGAUCGGGAGGAACAUCUGUGGCGAAGGCGGCCAUCUGGACCAGCACUGACACUGAGGCACGAAAGCGUGGGGAGCAAACAG
rnacentral:rRNA from 1 species